UUGGUUUAAAUCAUUAUGGAUCUACACUUUGAAAAUUGAACUAACAUAAAGUAGUAAGACAUACAUUGAUUCCACCCAA
rnacentral:pre_miRNA from 1 species